UGGGGCAGGGGGGCAGGAGGGGCUCACGCAGAAAGUAUCUACAGCCCCUGGCCCUCUCUGCCCUUCCGUCCCCUGCCCCCAAGU
rnacentral:pre_miRNA from 7 species